AGCAGCCGCGGUAAUUCCAGCUCCAAUAGCGUAUAUUAAAGUUGUUGCAGUUAAAAAGCUCGUAGUUGAAUUUCGGGGUUAGUAGGUUGGUCAUGCCUCUGGUAUGUACUGGUCUCACUGAUUCCUCCUUCCUGAUGAGCCGUAAUGCCAUUAAUUUGGUGUUGCGGGGAAUUUGGACUGUUACUUUGAAAAAUUGAGUGUUUAAAGCAAGCUAACGCUUGAAUACAUUAGCAUGGAAUAAUGAAAUAGGACGUUCGAUCCUAUUUUGUUGGUUUCUAGGAUUGACGUAAUGAUUAAUAGGGAUAGUUGGGGGCAUUAGUAUUCAAUUGUCAGAGGUGAAAUUCUUGGAUUUAUUGAAGACUAACUACUGCGAAAGCAUUUGCCAAGGAUGUUUUCAUUAAUCAAGAACGAAAGUUAGGGGAUCGAAGACGAUCAGAUACCGUCGUAGUCUUAACCAUAAACUAUGCCGACUAGGGAUCGGAUGAUGUUAAUUUUUAAUGACUCAUUCGGCGCCUUAACC
rnacentral:misc_RNA from 1 species